rnacentral:lncRNA from 1 species
UAUGGGUCCCUAUGGGGCGCUAUGGGGCGCUAUGGGUCUCUAUGGGGCGCUAUGGGGUCUCUAUGGGGCGCUAUGGGGCGCAGUGACACAGCAGCAUUCAGGGCAGUCACUCAUUUAUUUUCACCUCCGUCCCGGUCCCCCCCAAAACCCCACAUCUAUGGGGCAGAGGAGUCAUCACCCCAUAUCUAUGGGGCUGGGGGGGUCUUUACCCCACAUCUAUGGGAUGGGAGGGUCUUCAACCGACAUCUAUGGGGCAGGGGGGUCUUCACCCCACAUCUAUGGGGCUGGGGGGGUCUUUACCCCACAUCUAUGGGGCAGGGGAGGGUCUCCACCCCAUAUCUAUGGGGCNGGGGGGUCUUCACCCCACAUCUAUGGGGCUGGGGGGGGCCCCAAAGCCAACAGGUCCCGGAUGUGGAGUGGCAGCUCCUGGGGGAGGGGGAAAUGGGGUCAUGUUGGGGUCAUGAGGUCACGGUGGGGUCACGGUGGGGUCACGGUGGGGUCAUGGGGUCACGUGGUCCGGUUUGGGGUCACGUUGGGGUCAUGAGGUCACUUUGGGGUCACAGCGGGGUCAGGAUUAGGGGUCAUAGGUCACAGCAGGGUCAGGGCAGUGUCAGGUGUUAUUUUGAGGUCACGGUGGGGUCAGAGGUCAUGCCGGGGUCACAUGGGGGUCAGGGUGGGGCCAGAGGUCACAGUAGGGUCAGAGGUCAAAAUGGGGUCAGGUCGUGGCCAGGGGUCAAUGUGAGGUCACAGAGGGGUCACACCAGGGUCAGAGGUCACACGGGUCAGGGCAGGGUCAGAGGUCACAGCGGGGUCACAGGUCACGGUGGGGUCAGAGGUCAUGGCGGGGCCAGGGGUCAUUGUAGAAUCAGGGUG